rnacentral:rRNA from 1 species
CCUACGGGGGGCAGCAGUGGGGAAUAUUGGACAAUGGGGGGAACCCUGAUCCAGCCAUGCCGCGUGUGUGAAGAAGGCCCUCGGGUUGUAAAGCACUUUCAGUGAGGAAGAACGCCUGGUGGUUAAUACCCAUCAGGAAAGACAUCACUCACAGAAGAAGCACCGGCUAACUCCGUGCCAGCAGCCGCGGUAAUACGGAGGGUGCGAGCGUUAAUCGGAAUUACUGGGCGUAAAGCGCGCGUAGGUGGCUUGAUAAGCCGGUUGUGAAAGCCCCGGGCUCAACCUGGGAACGGCAUCCGGAACUGUCAAGCUAGAGUGCAGGAGAGGAAGGUAGAAUUCCCGGUGUAGCGGUGAAAUGCGUAGAGAUCGGGAGGAAUACCAGUGGCGAAGGCGGCCUUCUGGACUGACACUGACACUGAGGUGCGAAAGCGUGGGUAGCAAACAGGAUUAGAUACCCGUGUAGUC